GCUCUGCUCAGGCAGUGGGACGGGAAGUGGAGAAGGGGGAGGAGGCAGUUUCAGACCAGCUCCGCCGGCCAAUGCAGCAGCCAGAGGAGAGAGAGAAGAUGGAGCGGGCUCCCUGUCCUCCGGGCCACGGGGCUCCCGCUCCCCCCCGGCUCCGGUCCCAGAGACCCAUCGUCCUGCCUCCAGCUCAGCGGCAAACAUUGCUUCUCCAGGAAAGUUCCCACUCAACAGUAGUUCUGGGGAGAAAACCGUUGGAGAACAGCAGCCCCUUAGAGCUUUUGUGAAGGUGGGUCAUCCACGUUCCUGGAACUGCUGACAAAUCUUCAGAAUUCAAGAGCCAAUCAUUCCUGAGUCGGGGCGGGCAGAAAGCCAGCGGAGUCCAAAAUCGCACACUGACUUGAAGCGCUCAUCGCCAACAGGUAGGGGCAAGAGGAAGCAGUCAGAGAUCCAGAACAAGAUGUGAGUACUGGGCUCCAUCAAUCCAAAAUUUAACAAGACCCAAAUCUUCGUUUGAGGUGAUGGCUCUCUACUGGAGCGAUGACACUGACAUGAGGUAAGCGGUACUAGCGGGUAUUAAUUAUUUAUGGAGACUCCAGAUUCUUUAUGGAAUGCAGUAAAAAGAAAUCCCCAAACGAUCCAAUCAUCCAAAUAUCAUAUUUUAGAAGAAAUGCACAUCAAAUCUAUUGAGAUUGACUAUUCAUCCCCUAAAUGGGCUAAAUCAAUUUGUGAAUUAAGGUGGAUUUGUAAAGUAACAACAUUUGGGGAGUAGAAAAUGAUAAAAUAUGACAAAAUUUUUAAAGGUAAUCUCAUUUUUUCAGGUUUAUUCCUAGUAAAAUAUAUAUUUAAUUUAUAGUCACAUAUAUAACUAUAAAUCAAAUUAAAUAUAUAUAAAUAUAUAUGGGGGGGUUGGGUCAAAUUCCCCAAGUCCAGUCCCUAUACUGUAUAUGGCAGGUCUACCCUGAUGAAAGGGUGAUGGGGGAGGGGGAAUUUUGUGGCAUUGCCCUAGACCAUGGAAUAUAGAUCAGAUCUGUGCUUCCCACCCAUUGUAUUAACCCCUUAAACCACAGAGGCCACUGGGCCCCUAGAUGGAUGAGGAAGCAGGUAUGUCUCUCAGGCCCAACUUCCUACCAACCAGAAGAAUAGUGCCUCUGGAGGCAUGAAACUAGCAAAGAGACACAGGGGGGCUCCAAGAGAGAAGAAAGGAAAAGGCCAGACGAUGCAGCAAGGAAUCUGCAAAAGAAAGGAGGAGCCCAGAACAAGAUGGAGGGUGAGUAUUUUCUUGAUAAUUAAUGGAUAUAUAUAGAGAGAGAUUGAAGAUGCUAGUGAAUGUUAGAUGCUCAUCAAUUAUUUCAUUUUUAUUAGCCUAGCCUGUGUUACAGUUCAUUUCUUAUGAUUGGAAUGGAAUGAGAAGGGGCUAAAAAAAAGCUGCUCAUCCAGGGCUGGAGCCAGCCCCAGCCCCAGGACACCUAGUGUAGCCAUUUGUUUGAUUUUAUACUGGACCAAUCUGGUUUUCAACCGGUUUGUCUCCUAUGAGGUCCAAAGAGGGACACCGGAGAACGUUAUGCCCGGUAUGUCAAGCCUCCUGCCAUUGAGUUCUGCGGUCUGGAAGUCUUGGCUGGGUCCAGAGGAACGCAGUGGCUCUGGAGCAAUUGGGGGGCGGGUGGGACUGGGGAGGAUACCCUGGAGAAACGCUCUAGGUUCGGGGGGGAUUGGGCAGAGUUUUGCAAAAUGGCGUCCAUAUGACAUUGUGGUGUACUGCUGUUUGCCGGCAUAAUGCAUAUAAUGUCACGUGUGUCCUGAGGUCUGGUUUGAGUGCCAUCGCUGGCCAUCCUAGUCCCACCCCCAAAGUCUCUGGGUCCCACUUUUGUCCAGGAUGAUGGGAAUGGUGGUGGGUGGGAAUCCAGUAACCUCGGGAGCAGCCACAGCUGGAAGGUAGAGGAGAGGGAAGACUGCCCAGCCUCUUCCUCCUCCUAUACCGCCUGCUCCUCCUCUUUGGCAGCAACAAUAAUUGCUGUGGCUGCUAUUGCCGCCACCAGACCUGAGCUGGGCCUUGCCAGGGCAUUACUUGGGAGAUUUCCAGCUGUCCUAGCAACCUCCAAGAAACAAUCUGGGCAGUGGUCAUGAUUUUUCUUUUUUCCCCCCUCUUUCCCUUACUGUUUUCCCACACCUCUCUUUCCUGCCCUCUUGACCCCACCCCCAUCCUCUUGUCCCAGGGCUCAGGUGACCAAAAUAGUCACUUUACCCCAGAGAGGAGGGCCUGG